rnacentral:tmRNA from 1 species
GGGGAUGAAUUGAUUCGACAGAAAUAAUGAGUUAACUAUUGCAAGUCGUAGGUAUGCGUUAAUUCCACAAAACCGAAAUAAACGGAAAAAAUAAUUAUAACUUUGCACCUUCUUUUGCCUAAUUAAUUUAGGGUUGGUGUAAGCUUCUUUUAUUUCCUUGUUCACGGGAAAUAUUAGGGGCUCAUAUUUAGUGAACUAUAUUAUUCUAUUGUCUUGCUAGAAUAACGAACAAUUAAAGACUUACUAAUAGAUAGGUUUGUCAAUUUGUUUUAUCUAUUAGGACAUUCAAAAAUUGACUAAACUUGUAGAUAUACUAAUGAUUUAUUUUUGGACAGGGGUUCGCUACCCCUCAUCUCCACCA